ACUCUCGGGAAUGGAUAUCUCGGCUCUUACAUCGAUGAAGAACGUUGCGAAAUGCGAUACUAGGUAUGAAUUACAGAAUCCUAUGAACCAUCGAGUCUUUGAAUGGAUGUUGUGCCCGAAGCCAUUAGGCCGAGGGCGCUUCUGCCUGGGCAUCACUCAUCGUGUCACUCUCUCGCAUCGUGCCUCAAUCACGGGGUGCGCUGUCGUCGUGGGGCGGAUACUGGCCUCCCAUUCACCUCGAGCUCGCGAAUGGACUAAAUGCGAGUCCACGUCGACGGACGUCGCAGCAAGUGGUGGUUGCAACUCAACUCUCUUUGCCGUCGCGGCUAUGGCCCGUCGCGCGUUCGGACUCCAGGACCCCUUCGCGCUCAGGCGCUCCGAUCGCGACCGCAGGUCAGGCGGGAUUACUCGUUGAGUUUAAGAAUAUUAAUAAGCGGACGAAAAGAAACUUACAAGGAUUCCCUUAGUAACGGCGAGCGAAUCGGGAACAGCCCAGCCUUAUAAUCGGGCGGCUUCGUUGUCCGAAUUGUAGUCUGGAGAAGCAUCCUCAGCAGCAGACCGGGCCCAAGUCCCCUGGAAGGGGGCGCCGGAGAGGGGUGAGAGCCCCGUCGUGCCCUGACCCUGUCGCACCACCAGGCGAUGUCUACGAGUCGGGUUGUUUGGGAAUGCAGCCUAAAUACGGGCGAGAGAUCGAUAGCGAACAAGUACCGCGAUGGAAAGAUGAAAAGGACUUUGUAAAGAUAGUCAAAGAGUGCUUGAAAUUGUCGGGAGCGAAGCGGAUGGGGGCCGGCGAUGCACCCCGGUCGGAUGUGGAACGGCGACGAGCCGGUAUACCGAUCGACCUGGGGCGUGGAUCAGCGUGGAUUAGGGGGGCGGCCAAAGCCCAGGCUCUCGAUACACUCAUGGAAUGCCAUAUCCUCGAUUGUGGCAGGCAGCGCGCACCUCUGACGUGCUUCGACAUCUGCGCGCUCCGGACGCUGGCCUGUGGGCUCCCCAUUCGACCCGUCUUGAAACACGAACCAAGGAGUCUGCCAUUAUGCGAGUCAACGGGCGAGUAAACCCGUAAGGAUCAAGGAAGCUGAUUAGUGGGAUCCCCCCGAGGGGUGUACCGCCGACCGACCUUGAUCUUCUGAUAAGGGUUCGAGUGUGAGCAUACCUGUCGGGACCCGAAAGAUGGUGAACUAUGCCUGAGCGGGGCGAAGCCAGAGGAAACUCUGGUGGAGGCCCGCAGCGAUACUGACGUGCAAAUCGUUCGUCUGACUUGGGUAUAGGGGCGAAAUACUAAUCGAAUUGUCUAGUAGGUGGUUCCCUCCGAAGUUUCCUUCGGGAUAGCUGGAGCUCGCGUGCGAGUUCUGUCGGGUAAAGCCAAUGAUUAGAGGUCUCGGGGACACAACGCCCUCAAACUAUUCUCAAACUUUGAAUAGGUAGGACGGUGCGACUGCUUUGUUGAUCCGCGCCACAGAAUCAAGAGCUCCGAGUGGGCCAUUUUUGGUAAGCAGAACUGGCGAUGCGGGAUGAACUGGAAGCCGGGUUACGGUGCCAAAAUGCGCGCUAACCUAGAUCCCAUAAAGGGUGUUGGUAGAUUAAGACAGCAGGACGGUGGUCAUGGAAGUCGAAAUCUGCUAAGGAGUGUGUAACAACUCACCUGCCGAAUAAACUAGCCUCGAAAAUGGAUGGAGCUUAAGAGCACAACCUACACCCGGCCGUCGGGACAAGUGACAGGCCCCGAUGAGUAGGAGGGUGUGGCGGUCACUGCAAAACCAUGGGCGCGAGCCCGGGUGGAGCAGAAGGAUCACUGCCCGCAUCGCGUUACCCCCUCGCAUCGUGCCUCAAUCACGGGCCGCGCUGUCGUCAUGGGGCGGAUACUGGCCUCGUGUACGCCUCGAGCUAGAGACUGGCCUAAAUGCGAGUCCACAUCGACGGACGUCGCGGAAAGUGGUGGUUGCAACUCAACUCUCUUUACCAUCGCGGCUAUGGCCCGUCGCACGUCCGGACUCCUGGACCCUUUCGCACUCAGGCGCUCCUACCGCGACCUCAGGUCAGGCGGGAUUACCCGUAGAGUUUAAGCAUAUUAAUAAACGGAGGAAAAGAAACUUACAAGGAUUCCCUUAGUAACGGCGAGUGAAUCGGGAACAGCCCAGCCUUAGAAUCGGGCGGCUCCGUCAUCCGAAUUGUAGUCUGGAGAAGCAUCCUCAGCGGCGGACCAAGCCCAAGUCCCCUUGAAGGGGGCGCCAGAGAGGGUGAGAGCCCCGUCGUGCCCGGACCCUAUCGCACCAUGAGGCGCUGUCUACGAGUCGGGUUGUUUGGAAAUGCAGCCUAAAUCGGGCGGUGAAUUCCAUCCAAGGCUAAAUAUGGGCGAGUGACCGAUAGCGAACAAGUACCGCGAGGGAAAGAUGAAAAGGACAUUGAAAAGAGAGUCAAAGAGUGCUUGAAAUUAUCGGGAGGGAAACGGAUGGGGGCCGGCGAUGCGCCCCGAUCGGAUGUGGAACGACGAUGAGACAGUACGCCGAUCGACCCGGGUCGUGGACCAGCGUGGAUUGGGGGGGGCCAAAGUCCAGGCUUUCGAUACGCUCGUGGAAUGUCGUUUCCUUGAUUGUGGCAGGCAGCGCGCGCCUCCGGCAUGCUUCGGCAUCUGCGCGCUCCGGACGCUGGCCUGCUGGCUCCCCAUCCGACCCAUCUUGAAACACGGACCAAGGAGUCUUACAUGUGUGCGAGUCAACGGGCGAGUAAACCCGUAAGGCGUAAGGAAUCUGAUAGGUGGGAUCGCCCCGAGGCGUGCACUGCCGACCGACCUUGAUCUUCUGAGAAGGAUUCGAGUGUGAGCAUACCUGUUGGGACCGGCCUUGCUGCCACGAUCCACUGAGAUUCAGCCCUUUGUCGCUCCAGUUCGUCCCUCCCCAUCCAAUCCAACCACCCUGUCACCCGUCUCUAAAGGAGGUUCGUGCAUUCGU
rnacentral:rRNA from 1 species